GGUUACCCAUGGGGGUGCCCGGAAACGGGCUGAGAAAAGCGUGCGCGCGCUUUACCCUUGGAACCUGACCUGGGUCAUGCCAGCGGAGGGAAUGGGUGGUUAGCUUUU
rnacentral:ncRNA from 2 species